rnacentral:rRNA from 1 species
CCCUUAGAUGUUCUGGGCCGCACGCGCGCUACACUGAUGCAUUCAACGAGUUUUACCUUGGCCGAGAGGCCUGGGCAAUCUUUUAAACCUGCAUCGUGAUAGGGAUAGAUUAUUGCAAUUAUUAAUCUUGAACGAGGAAUUCCUAGUAAACGCGAAUCAUCAAUUCGCAUUGAUUACGUCCCUGCCCUUUGUACACACCGCCCGUCGCACCUACCGAUUGAAUGGUCCGGUGAAAUCUCGGGAUUGUGGCCAGUUCACUUUAUUGGGAGUUGGCUGCGAGAACUUGCUUAAACCUUAUCAUUUAGAGGAAGGUGAAGUCGUAACA